rnacentral:rRNA from 1 species
UCCUCCCCCUUUCUUCGUGCUUAACACAUGCAAGUCGAACGGAAAGGCCCUGCUUGCAGGGUACUCGAGUGGCGAACGGGUGAGUAACACGUGGGUGAUCUGCCCUGCACUUCGGGAUAAGCUUGGGAAACUGGGUCUAAUACCGGAUAGGAACCAUCUUUAGUGUGGUGGUUGGAAAGUUUUUUCGGUGUAGGAUGAGCUCGCGGCCUAUCAGCUUGUUGGUGGGGUAAUGGCCUACCAAGGCGGCGACGGGUAGCCGGCCUGAGAGGGUGUACGGCCACAUUGGGACUGAGAUACGGCCCAGACUCCUACGGGAGGCAGCAGUGGGGAAUAUUGCACAAUGGGCGCAAGCCUGAUGCAGCGACGCCGCGUGGGGGAUGAAGGCCUUCGGGUUGUAAACUCCUUUCGCUAGGGACGAAGCUUUGUUGUGACGGUACCUAGAUAAGAAGCACCGGCUAACUACGUG